GGCUGCGGCCGCGCUGAGGCGGCUCCGCCCCGGCCGGGCCCGCAGGCGGCGGCUGCUGCCGGGAGCGGGGUGUGGGGGGCGGGCAGGGGCUUGGCAGCGCGGUGCGGUGCUGUGCGGGGUUAGCGGGCCGGGAAAGGCCCGGUAACAAAGGGGUGCGCCCAGGGGAGGGGGGAGCUGGUGCACAGGGGCGGCCCGAGGGGGUCUGAACGCAGGGCGGGUUGCGGUGAUGAAGCGUUAUGUGCUGGAGAGUGUUUAACUGAGCAAAAGCUCUCGCAGUUAUCUCCGAGGUCCUUCCCCGCUUCCCCACAAGUAUAACUUCAUGUCACGAGUGAGCCUGCCAAAGGAGAGCUCUUCUCCAGUUGACAUCUGGGCUGCCAGUGUGCCAAGCGGUCAUCUAAAGUCACUCCGACAAGGCACUUGAAAGGAAACACAGGCUGGAAAAGGGCUGGGCAGAUUUAAAGUGGGAGAGAAGGAACAGUGGGCCUUCUGUAGGAGAGGGGACGAGGCAGCGUUUGCUGCUCUGGAACAGGAGAUCCAACACAGGGAAGCAAGAGGGAGCAACCAUGGGUCACACUGCACACGGGCAGCGUCGCCUUACUCCUUUCUCUAAGCACAAACACCCAGGUGAGCACCUUGCACGGAAAAAGGCUCUGUCGAUGCAAGGCAGGUCUGUCCUAGACCCCAUCCCGGGGCAGGCCUCCUGCUUUGCCCUCGCUGAGCCCCCCCAUGGCCCCUCCUGGGUGCUCUGUGGGCCGGGAGCUGCGGUGUCAGCCGGGAGGCAGAGGAAGCUGGCAGCCGUCCCGGGGCUGCUCCAUAGAAGGAGAUGGGCUAGCUGCGUGAGGUCAUCGCUGCUCCGGGAGGAGGCUUUCUCCGGCGAGAGGGAAGUGGGUCUCGCAGAAGGAAGGGGGAUCCUGCUGCCCUGGCGAAGGAGGAGCCGCAAGAGCAGAGCUGGAGCUUGUUCCUGGAACAUCAGACUUCCUAGUACUGCGUUCUGCUUUAAAAUGUUUGAGUGUAUGAUAUAUCCCACAGUACCUGUGUCACAAAUAAGUCUGGGGAGUUCCAGAUAA
rnacentral:lncRNA from 1 species